AUGCAGGAUCGUUGUCGACCUGGAGUCAAAGAUUCAGUGGAGCUUUGCCAAAAAUAUGGGGUUAAGGUUGUGAGACGGGGACGUUCUGUGUAUGCAAAUAUUCAAAAAUUUAUCCAGUUUCAGCUUACAGUAAAUGUAGCAGCUCUUGUUAUAAAUGUUGUUGCUGCUGUUUCCUCUGGUGAUCUCCCACUGAAUGCAGUGCAGAUUUUGUGGGUGAAUCUUACCAUGGAUACUUUGGGAGAACUAGCAUUGGCAACUGAACCACCAACUGACCAUCUUAUGGAUUGGGCCCGAAGGUCGGAACUUCAGUUUCUCUAAUUGUGCCUUUUUUUUCUUUGGAUCAUGACAUUUUCUUGCUAUGUUUUUCUGGUGUUACAGCACCUGAAGAAUAUUGAUAUAUUAGAAUAUUGAAAUAUUGAAGUUCUUUCUUUUUUAUUUUUUAAA